rnacentral:tRNA from 1 species
GAAGAUAGAGCUUAGUGGUAGAGUGUGCGCUUGGUAUGCACAAGGUCCUGGGUUCAAUCCCCAAUACCUCCA